GCAACAUUAAGCAAAAAUAAUUGCAAUCAACAAAAGCUUUUGUAUACAUUAUCUGCCAUUAUAUAUUAGCUGUUAAUCCAAAAAUACUUUUCUUAUCAAAUUUACUAGCAAGCGAUGCAAUCGUUUUUACCCAAAGAAAAACUAACAAAAACACACAAAAACAUCAUUAGUCAUCAGCUCGCGCAACGCAGCGCAGCGCGACGUCAAUGGACGUUUGGUCAUCUGGUUUGGUGAAAAUGGAGUUUCAUCGAGGUUAUGGGUCCUUACUUUGUUAAUAAUUUUGUCUCCUCUUUUCUUUUAUUUGACAUCUUCUACGAAGAGUCUUAAAAAUAACUAAGUGAUUCUUGAAACCUUAUGUAGUGGACUAUUUUCCUGCCGAGGUAGGCUUUUAAUAUCAUGAGUAAAGUGUACUCAACCUCAAAUCUCUCCGAUAAGGAGCUCAAGGAACAGGGGAAUCGACUUUUCAGUCUCCACAAGUACGAAGAUGCUGCGAAUUGCUACACAAAGGCAAUCAUCAAGAAUCCGAGCCAGGCGCUGUACUUUACAAACCGAGCUCUUUGCCAUCUUAAACUGAAGCGAUGGGAAUCUUCCUGUCAGGAUUGCAGACGUGCCCUGGACAUGGAUCCUUGUUUGGUCAAAGGACACUUUUUUCUGGGACUUGCUCUCCUAGAAUUGGAACUCUAUGAUGAAGCUAUCAAACAUUUACAAAGAGGAGUAGAUCUGGCAAAGGAACAGAAACUGAACUACGGGGAUGACAUGACUAGUGUCCUGAGGCAGGCGCGAAAACGUCGAUUCCAGCUGAAGGAAGAACAGAGAAUUAUCCAAGAUAUCGAACUUCAAACAUAUCUUAAUCAAUUAUUGAUUGAAGAUGCUCAACGGAAUCUCGAAGCUUUGAAAGAAAAGCAGGAGAUUGAGGGGAAAACCGAAGCUGAAUUGGCCCAGAAACGCGACGAAAUCGAGGAAAAGAAAGAAUCCUGCAUCACUCGUCUAAACGAUCUCUUCGCCAAAGUUGACGAUAGAAGAAGGAAAAGAGAAGUACCGGACUACCUAUGUGGCAAGAUCAGUUUUGAAAUUCUCCAAGAGCCAGUAAUUACACCAAGUGGCAUUACUUACGAACGCAAGGAUAUCGAGGAACAUCUUCAGAGGGUAGGACAUUUCGAUCCUGUAACUCGUGUUCGCCUCACACAGGAUCAAUUGAUACCGAACCUGGCAAUGAAAGACGUCGUGGAUUCAUUUCUUCAAGAAAAUGAAUGGGCUCUUGACUACUGAGCCGCAAAGUUACGCUACUGAUCAAAAUUCAACUAUUUUUAGUUGAAAAGUCUACUAUGAUAUUUUCAGACUCGCGAGUGGCCUUCGAUGCUGGAUGCAGAACAGGCAAAAAGCCAAUCUUUGCUGUCUAAAUUCAAGGCCUGAAUGGUUAAAUGAUUGGCGAAAUCAGUGAACCUGAUCAUAAGGUAUACAACAGAUUUUUCUGUUUUUUCAUCAGUGAUACUUUUGCCACUCCAUUCAUAUUGUCUACGAAUGUCUUCUAUCCAAAUUCCACCUGAUUCGAAGAUCUGAAGCAAUUGCUGGAGGUCGGGCUGCAAUAUCCACGCUAUCAAAAAGAGCGCGAACUAUUGAAAGGACCAAUUGCUUACACCACAGAAUACACAAAUGGUCCGUACUUCGCCACA